GCAUCAUCGGUACUUGGUAAGGCCUCAGCUUUUGCCUGAACCUUCAACAGAACUUCGCCCAGGGAGGAACCUUCCCUGCUUCCUUUAAUAAUGCAUCGUGUCUAUGUGUAAUUUUGAUAAAAGGAAGUAGGACUGCAAUUUCUUUGCAUGUGUGAAAAUGGAAUGCGGAAACCUGAUGAGAUUUUCAAGAGGGAGAAGUGGAACGGGGAAAGUUACAGGGGAUGUGCGGAUACAGGUACACUGUGUACACUGUAUACAACUGAUACAUGCUAAUAAAAAAGGAACAAAAAAACUCAAAAUGUACUCCUCUGUUCAACAUCCAAUCAGAUCUUAUUACCAACCUGCAAAGUGGAAUUAAUUCAAAUUAGAGAAUAUUUUAUAUAGCUAAUCUAUUGGAAUAAAGAUAAAACUGCACUGGGCACACUCCUUUGUUACUGUGGGCAGAAUUCCCAGGGAUGGAAGAGAUAGAGCAGAGGCACCUACACACCAUGUUCAUUAUAGCCCUAUUCAUAACCACCAAGCCAUGAAAACAACCAACAAAUGGUUGCUCUACCACCAAUGAGUGGAUCAGACAAUGCGGAAUGAAUGCAUGUAUGUGUGUUUGUGUGUUCCAAGAAAUAUUACUAGUCAGCCAACAAGAAGAAUGACAUUACAGGGAAAUGAUGGACCCAGAAAAACAUAUCAAACAAAACAAAAACCAGGCUCUUAAGGACAAAGGUUGAAUGUUUUCCCUCAUAUGUCGAUGUUAUAUA